rnacentral:rRNA from 1 species
GUAGGUGGCAAGCGUUGUCCGGAAUUAUUGGGCGUAAAGCGCGCGCAGGCGGUUCUUUAAGUCUGAUGUGAAAGCCCACGGGCUCAACCGUGGAGGGUCAUUGGAAACUGGAGAACUUGAGUACAGAAGAGGAAAGCGGAAUUCCACGUGUAGCGGUGAAAUGCGUAGAGAUGUGGAGGAACACCAGUGGCGAAGGCGGCUUUCUGGUCUGUAACUGACGCUGAGGCGCGAAAGCGUGGGGAGCAAACAGGAUUAGAUACCCUGGUAGUCCACGCCGUAAACGAUGAGUGCUAAGUGUUAGGGGGUUUCCGCCCCUUAGUGCUGCAGCUAACGCAUUACGCACUCCGCCUGGGGAGUACGGCCGCAAGGCUG